UACAAAAAAAAAGAAGAUAGAAUGGCAUCAGUUCCUCUCCCAUAGAAUGGCAUCAUCGCCGCCUGGGGGAUUAAAAACAAAAGAGAGGAGAAUUUGGGGAAAGGAAGAAUUAGGAAACAGAGAGGGAAAAUGGGCAAAAUAAAUUGCCAUGGCCACCAAAACACCCCUCUUCUUUUUUCUUUGAAUUUUUAUCUCAAAAUCCAGCCAGAUCUUCUUGACCUGUACAUUUUUGAAAAAUUGCUCCUCCCUCUAUAUACCCAUCUGGUUCCAUUAGCGAUGGUAGCUCCCUCACCGUCUUUUUUCUGUAUGCACAAGAAGCUCAAAACCCAUUUGCUCGUCUCUCACAUCUCCUCUCCAUUUGCUAUUGUCGUGUUGCAGAUCACAAGUUGCUCUCUCUUUCUGACUCCAAAGCACUGAUUGAGACCCAUUUGCUUCAUUCUCUUUUCACCGACAUUCUCUCUGUGUAAAAGCUUAAAUCAGACUAAAACUCAUUCCUUCCUUCAUUCUUGCAGGUGAUAAUCGGUUUGUAAGUGGCUAAUAUUGGUAAUUUUCAUUUUUUUUUUCUCCAUACCCAAUAUUUUCUAUAUUUCAAUUUAUGAUUUUUCUUAUUUUGAUUAUUCCUUAAUUAACCCUACAACGUUCUAUUUUAGUUGUUGUAAGCUGGAUCUUAGUGGUUAAGAUUCUAAAUUUUUGCUUUUAGGUAUUAUUAAUGGUGAAGUGAAUUGAUAGUUUGCAAAUUAGUUUCACAUUUGUUGGUCAUGGGCACUUGGAAGAAAUUCUACCAUACAUUUUAGUUACUUUGCUGUAAAUUGUACUGCACUUAUAAUAUUUCUCUUGUUUAUUUCUUAGUACUUGGUGCUUAGUACUUUUGCUGUGAGUGUCUUGUAAAUGUUCCAAAAUGAAACUCAGAGUAGAAUACUGGCAUACUAGUGAGAUCUGUAUUGGUUUGUAAACCAUAAAUUGGUAAAAAUUAUUUCCAUUGAAAGUCAUAAAAUAAUGAUAUUGGUUACUAAAGGUCUUGCCAAAUUGAUUGCAUUUUAGUUAAUAUAAUUUCUGUUAAAGCACUAUGCUAUGUCAAUUAUUAUAGCCAAUUUGAGAUAGCUCAAUGUUGAGAUUUGCUAUUGUGUCUAAACCUUAACUACAGGUACACCCAUCAUUAUAGGUUAGAGAAUAGUCGUGAAAAAAAUAAUAAAAUAAAAUAAUAAAAUAAAAAACUAAAAAUAAUAAAAAAAUAAAAGGGAGAUUUGUUUCCUCUUUCACUUUCUCACCUAUUUAAACUUAUUUUUCUCUCCUAAAACUCGAAGCAAUAAUUUCUUUUUUUCUCUCUUACAACCUCUUGCCUCCAAAUUUCCCUCUCCUAAAAGCUCUUAAAAUUCUCUCAAUUACUCUAACAAAGAU